rnacentral:rRNA from 1 species
GACGAACGCUGGCGGCGUGCCUAAUACAUGCAAGUCGAGCGCAGGAAACUGACGGAACUCUUCGGAGGGAAGGCAGUGGAAUGAGCGGCGGACGGGUGAGUAACACGUAAGGAACCUGCCUCAAGGAUUGGGAUAACUCCGAGAAAUCGGAGCUAAUACCGGAUAGUUCAACGGACCGCAUGGUCCGCUGAUGAAAGGCGCUCCGGCGUCACCUUGAGAUGGCCUUGCGGUGCAUUAGCUAGUUGGUGGGGUAACGGCCCACCAAGGCGACGAUGCAGAGCCGACCUGAGAGGGUGAUCGGCCACACUGGGACUGAGACACGGCCCAGACUCCUACGGGAGGCAGCAGUAGGGAAUCUGCCACAAUGGACGAAAGUCUGAUGGAGCAACGCCGCGUGAGUGAUGAAGGUUUUCGGAUCGUAAAACUCUGUUGUAAGGGAAGAACACGUACGAGAGGAAAUGCUCGUACCUUGACGGUACCUUACGAGAAAGCCACGGCUAACUACGUGCCAGCCGCCGCCGUAA